rnacentral:lncRNA from 1 species
AGCAUGGAUGAGCAGGGGCGGCUUCUGGUAGUGCAGGAGCAGCUGGAGGGGCAGCUGCAGUGCUGCCAGGAGGAGCUCCGCCAGCUCAGGGAGAAGAGGCCCUCUGUUGUCAAAGAAGCCCGGGGGAAGAAUGCUAAUAAGAACAUGAACAAGAAUGCCAAUGGGGUUAAAAUGAAAAAGGUGACCAAGCCAUGCUCGGAUACUUCUGAGAGCGACCUUGAGACCAGAAAGAGUCUGGAGGUAGUGCUGUACUACAAGGCCAGCCAGAGGAAAUUAGAUGGACUAGCAAAAGAGGAGGAAAAAAAGGAGGAAGUGAAAGAGGAAGCAAAGGAGCAGUGUGGGGACGAGCUAGUUGCUGAGCCAGCAGAUCCUGGGGAAGCUAAAUCCACAGAAGAUCAGGAGGAAAAUGAAGAGGACAAAGAGGAAGAGGAGAAGGAAGAAGACAGUGAAGAGGAGGAAGAUGACGUCGACUCUUCCCUUGAAAGUCCCGAAGAAAAUAACCCCCUCAGACUUUCCGAGAGCAAAAAGAACAUGUUUGGGUUGUGGAAGCCUAUGGUAUUCUUGGCUAUUGCAGCUGUGGCUCUGUAUGUGUUACCCAACAUGCGACAGCAGGAGUCAGAGUUCUGCCUCAUGGAGUGAUGGCAGACCUUGGCCAGCGCGAGGGCAGAUCCCCAGUGGCCACCACCCUCAGCUUUGGGCAGGACACACUGUGCCAGAACCCUCCCCAUAUGUUCCAUGUGUCCCCAUCUCCUCAGCCUCAGUCACCCAGGCUGAAAAGGCUUGUGGGGAGCGGCUGACUUCCAUCUCCUGCCUUGUGUAAGAACCUGAGUUCCUUGUAAUUAAAUAUCAACUGAAUU